GGGUUGUGAGGUUAAGCGACUAAGCGUACACGGUGGAUGCCCUGGCAGUCAGAGGCGAUGAAGGACGUGCUAAUCUGCGAUAAGCGUCGGUAAGGUGAUAUGAACCGUUAUAACCGGCGAUUUCCGAAUGGGGAAACCCAGUGUGAUUCGUCACACUAUCAUUAACUGAAUCCAUAGGUUAAUGAGGCGAACCGGGGGAACUGAAACAUCUAAGUACCCCGAGGAAAAGAAAUCAACCGAGAUUCCCCCAGUAGCGGCGAGCGAACGGGGAGGAGCCCAGAGCCUGAAUCAGUGUGUGUGUUAGUGGAAGCGUCUGGAAAGGCGCGCGAUACAGGGUGACAGCCCCGUACACAAAAAUGCACAUGCUGUGAGCUCGAUGAGUAGGGCGGGACACGUGGUAUCCUGUCUGAAUAUGGGGGGACCAUCCUCCAAGGCUAAAUACUCCUGACUGACCGAUAGUGAACCAGUACCGUGAGGGAAAGGCGAAAAGAACCCCGGCGAGGGGAGUGAAAAAGAACCUGAAACCGUGUACGUACAAGCAGUGGGAGCACGCUUAGGCGUGUGACUGCGUACCUUUUGUAUAAUGGGUCAGCGACUUAUAUUCUGUAGCAAGGUUAACCGAAUAGGGGAGCCGAAGGGAAACCGAGUCUUAACUGGGCGUUAAGUUGCAGGGUAUAGACCCGAAACCCGGUGAUCUAGCCAUGGGCAGGUUGAAGGUUGGGUAACACUAACUGGAGGACCGAACCGACUAAUGUUGAAAAAUUAGCGGAUGACUUGUGGCUGGGGGUGAAAGGCCAAUCAAACCGGGAGAUAGCUGGUUCUCCCCGAAAGCUAUUUAGGUAGCGCCUCGUGAAUUCAUCUCCGGGGGUAGAGCACUGUUUCGGCAAGGGGGUCAUCCCGACUUACCAACCCGAUGCAAACUGCGAAUACCGGAGAAUGUUAUCACGGGAGACACACGGCGGGUGCUAACGUCCGUCGUGAAGAGGGAAACAACCCAGACCGCCAGCUAAGGUCCCAAAGUCAUGGUUAAGUGGGAAACGAUGUGGGAAGGCCCAGACAGCCAGGAUGUUGGCUUAGAAGCAGCCAUCAUUUAAAGAAAGCGUAAUAGCUCACUGGUCGAGUCGGCCUGCGCGGAAGAUGUAACGGGGCUAAACCAUGCACCGAAGCUGCGGCAGCGACACUAUGUGUUGUUGGGUAGGGGAGCGUUCUGUAAGCCUGUGAAGGUGUGCUGUGAGGCAUGCUGGAGGUAUCAGAAGUGCGAAUGCUGACAUAAGUAACGAUAAAGCGGGUGAAAAGCCCGCUCGCCGGAAGACCAAGGGUUCCUGUCCAACGUUAAUCGGGGCAGGGUGAGUCGACCCCUAAGGCGAGGCCGAAAGGCGUAGUCGAUGGGAAACAGGUUAAUAUUCCUGUACUUGGUGUUACUGCGAAGGGGGGACGGAGAAGGCUAUGUUGGCCGGGCGACGGUUGUCCCGGUUUAAGCGUGUAGGCUGGUUUUCCAGGCAAAUCCGGAAAAUCAAGGCUGAGGCGUGAUGACGAGGCACUACGGUGCUGAAGCAACAAAUGCCCUGCUUCCAGGAAAAGCCUCUAAGCAUCAGGUAACAUCAAAUCGUACCCCAAACCGACACAGGUGGUCAGGUAGAGAAUACCAAGGCGCUUGAGAGAACUCGGGUGAAGGAACUAGGCAAAAUGGUGCCGUAACUUCGGGAGAAGGCACGCUGAUAUGUAGGUGAAGUCCCUCGCGGAUGGAGCUGAAAUCAGUCGAAGAUACCAGCUGGCUGCAACUGUUUAUUAAAAACACAGCACUGUGCAAACACGAAAGUGGACGUAUACGGUGUGACGCCUGCCCGGUGCCGGAAGGUUAAUUGAUGGGGUUAGCGCAAGCGAAGCUCUUGAUCGAAGCCCCGGUAAACGGCGGCCGUAACUAUAACGGUCCUAAGGUAGCGAAAUUCCUUGUCGGGUAAGUUCCGACCUGCACGAAUGGCGUAAUGAUGGCCAGGCUGUCUCCACCCGAGACUCAGUGAAAUUGAACUCGCUGUGAAGAUGCAGUGUACCCGCGGCAAGACGGAAAGACCCCGUGAACCUUUACUAUAGCUUGACACUGAACAUUGAGCCUUGAUGUGUAGGAUAGGUGGGAGGCUUUGAAGUGUGGACGCCAGUCUGCAUGGAGCCGACCUUGAAAUACCACCCUUUAAUGUUUGAUGUUCUAACGUUGACCCGUGAUCCGGGUUGCGGACAGUGUCUGGUGGGUAGUUUGACUGGGGCGGUCUCCUCCUAAAGAGUAACGGAGGAGCACGAAGGUUGGCUAAUCCUGGUCGGACAUCAGGAGGUUAGUGCAAUGGCAUAAGCCAGCUUGACUGCGAGCGUGACGGCGCGAGCAGGUGCGAAAGCAGGUCAUAGUGAUCCGGUGGUUCUGAAUGGAAGGGCCAUCGCUCAACGGAUAAAAGGUACUCCGGGGAUAACAGGCUGAUACCGCCCAAGAGUUCAUAUCGACGGCGGUGUUUGGCACCUCGAUGUCGGCUCAUCACAUCCUGGGGCUGAAGUAGGUCCCAAGGGUAUGGCUGUUCGCCAUUUAAAGUGGUACGCGAGCUGGGUUUAGAACGUCGUGAGACAGUUCGGUCCCUAUCUGCCGUGGGCGCUGGAGAACUGAGGGGGGCUGCUCCUAGUACGAGAGGACCGGAGUGGACGCAUCACUGGUGUUCGGGUUGUCAUGCCAAUGGCACUGCCCGGUAGCUAAAUGCGGAAGAGAUAAGUGCUGAAAGCAUCUAAGCACGAAACUUGCCCCGAGAUGAGUUCUCCCUGACUCCUUGAGAGUCCUGAAGGAACGUUGAAGACGACGACGUUGAUAGGCCGGGUGUGUAAGCGCAGCGAUGCGUUGAGCUAACCGGUACUAAUGAACCGUGAGGCUUAACCUUACAACGCCGAAGGUGUUU
rnacentral:rRNA from 1 species